GAUGAACGCUGGCGGCGUGCCUAAUACAUGCAAGUCGAACGAGGUGCUUUUGUAGCAAUACGAGGGUAUCCUAGUGGCGAACGGGUGAGUAACGCGUUGGUGACCUGCCCCGAAGUGAGGGAUAACAGUCCGAAAGGAUUGCUAAUACCGCAUGUGGCCAUCGGGUUUAGAAACCGAUGUCUAAAGCAGCAAUACGCUUUGGGAGGGACCUGCGUCCCAUCAGCUAGUUGGUGAGGUAACGGCUCACCAAGGCGACGACGGGUAGGGGGCCUGAGAGGGUGGCCCCCCACAAUGGAACUGAAACACGGUCCAUACACCUACGGGUGGCAGCAGUAGGGAAUAUUGCACAAUGGGCGAAAGCCUGAUGCAGCAACGCCGCGUGAGCGAAGAAGGCCUUCGGGUCGUAAAGCUCUUUUCUGGGAGAUGAGAAAGGACAGUAUCCCAGGAAUAAGUCUCGGCUAACUACGUGCCAGCCGCCGCCGUAACAC
rnacentral:rRNA from 1 species